CCGAGUUUACAACUCCCAAACCCCUGUGAACAUACCACUUGUUGCCUCGGCGGAUCAGCCCGCUCCCGGUAAAACGGGACGGCCCGCCCGAGGACCCCUAAACUCUGUUUCUAUAGUGUAACUUCUGAGUAAAACAGACAAAUAAAUCA
rnacentral:misc_RNA from 1 species